CGGCUCGCCCCGAACGGGCCUUGCACGCUCGCCUCCACGUGUGCAAGGGCACACGGCGCCCAGCAAGCCUUGCACGCUCGCCUCCGAGUGUGCGAGCUCACGCUUUGAACCGGGUGAGCUCGGCGCGCUCGGCUCUAAGCGUGCGAGCUUGCACUGUGCCCCGAAGCCUUGCACGCGCCUCGCACACACGACACCCAGCGAGCCUUGCACGCGCUGGAGCGGUGCACACUCAGCGCAUGAAGCUUGCACGCUCACCUCUCCUCGUGCCACCUCACACUUGGCAUGAUGGCUCGGUGGCUUUGCACGCUCACCAGCAGGUGUGCAAGCUCACGCUGCACCGCCGAGCUUUGCACGCGCAGCCCUGAAGCCUUGCACACUCACCUCCCGCUGUGCAAGUGCACACCAAGACCUAGUGCUUUGCACGCUCACCACCAAUGGUGCAAGCUUGCCCUGAGUCCUCAAGCUGUGCACACUCAGCCCUGGAGCCUUGCACGCUCACUGUCAGUUGUGCAAGUGCACACUCAGCCCUGCAGGUUUGCACAAGCAGCCCCAGCUCCUUGCACACUCAUCUACCAUUGCACAAACUCACAGUGUUGGAGGUGUUCACACUCCGUGCACAAAACUUGCACACUCACCUCCAGUUGUGCAAGCUCACACCGCACCUGGGGGCUUUGCACGCAAAGACCUAGAACCUUGCACGUUCACCUCUACUUGCACAAACUCCCGCUCUGCACUAAAGCUCGUCGGCUUUGCACGCUCACCAACAGUCGUGCAAGCUCACCCUUUGCCCGGGAGCCUUGCACAUGCACCCCUACAGCCUUACACACUCAUCUCCAGUCGUGCACGCUCACACGGCCUCAGAGCUGCGCACGCUCACUCACCUCCGCUCGUGCAAGCCGACACUUCCCCUCAGAGCCUCGCACCCUCGAGCCUUGCACGCUCACCAGCAGCUGUGCACGCUCCCGCUCAGCCCUGGAGCUUUGCACGCUCAUUGCACGCUCACGGCGCUCCCCUCAGGUCAGCGCACGCGCCUCCUCACACCUGUGCACCCUCAGUGCAAGCCCCGUGCACGCUCACUACCUGCCCGGCACGCUCAGCGCCAGCUGUGCAAGCUCCCUGCAAUCCCUGCACUCACCGUCACCCCGAGAGCCUUGCACGCUCACCGCCAGCCUUGCACGCUCACCGCCAGGUGUGCACGCUCCAUAGCAACCGUGCACGCUCAGC
rnacentral:lncRNA from 1 species